AACGCAUAUUGCGCCCGAGGCCUCGGCUAAGGGCAUGUCUGCCUCAGCGUUGGGUUAAUAUCAUACUUCUUACCCCUGUGGGUAAACAAGUGUGGAUCUGGUUGUUCCAGUGGUGGUUCUUUGAACCGAUCAGCCGCUGGAUCAGCUGAAGUGCAGAGGCUAAUGCAGGACCCGUUAAGGGCCGCAACUGGGUAGGCAUUCAUAUGCUACAUCUAGUUGUUGGUCUGGGACUUUGCGUUCGGCCCACCAACAGGAAUUAACCCUUAUUUUCUCAACCUGAGCUCAGGCAAGAACACCCGCUGAACUUAA
rnacentral:misc_RNA from 1 species